UACGAAGGGGGCUAGCGUUGUUCGGAUUUACUGGGCGUAAAGGGCGCGUAGGCGGCAGGCCAAGUCAGGAGUGAAAGCCCGGGGCUCAACCCCGGAAUGUCUUUCGAAACUGGCCAGCUGGAGUGCGGAAGAGGCAACUGGAAUUCCCAGUGUAGCGGUGAAAUGCGUAGAUAUUGGGAAGAACACCUGAGGCGAAGGCGGGUUGCUGGGCCGACACUGACGCUGAGGCGCGAAAGCCAGGGGAGCAAACGGG
rnacentral:rRNA from 1 species